rnacentral:lncRNA from 10 species
AAUUGGAUUGCUCCCAAUUUGAUAGCCCAUGGAGGGUUGUACAAUAAUUUUAUGCUAAUUCUAAAAAACCUAUGAUUUCUACUUUUAGAAAUUCAUGAUCAAAUUUAUCUUCUUAUCUGUGUGGAGUUUAGGAAAGAAACACAUCAUGCUAAAGACAACAAAAGCCUGAACAAAGUCCCUCUAUUUAGUCAAAAUAGAAUUUCACAAACAAUGGAGUUUAAAAUUCAAAUGUCUUCAAAGCAGUUGUAAUAAUAAUUGUUUCCACUAAGGUGUGCUAGAUCUCCAAAUAUUAUUCAUGCUCUCCUUGUCUUACCACACUGCACUGAAUUUCACCGUGUUCAUUGCCUUCCCCAGGGCUGCCAAGCAUUUACCACACAGGAGGUUUUUAAGCUGGAGCAACAAUGUGCUGCACACAAAUUCAGCUAAAACACAAAAGAAGACAAGAAAUCAUUUAAAAAUGUUAAAUGAAAAGAAAAAAAUAGUUGCAUUGUGAAUUGGUGAUUUUUAUAAACAGACUCAGCAGAAGAUUAGUUGUUUCCAGCAUAUUUUUGAAAAAAGAAAAUAGCAUUUGAAAAAGGAAAAGAUGAUCAAGCACUUUCAAAGACAAAAAAUACAAUGCAUCUAUAAAGGCAAAUGCGGCAUUGAGUGACUAAAUCUGAUGAACAGGGAAGACUUCUGACAGACACUGAAUUGGGAGAAGGAGCCUUCCUGCUCCGAGACCAGUGACAUGUACUUGGAAAUGAUGUCACCAGAUGCUCCAAGCAAAGGUUGAGAUGAAUCUUCAGAGGGAGAUGUGCUAUCUUGAAAGGCAGAAGUCUCUGCAUCAUCUUCAAGUAAAGGGGUGUAUUCAUGCUGCUGAUAAAGACAAACCCAAGACUAGGCUAUUUACAAAAGAAAGAGGUUUAAUGGACUACCAGUUCCAUGUGGCUGGGGAGGCCUCACAAUCAUGGUGGAUGGCAAGGAGGAUUAAGUCACAUCUUACAUGGAUGGCAGCAGGCAAAAAGAGAGAGCUUGUAUGGGGAAACUCCUGUUUUUAAAACCAUCAGCUUGCAUGAGACUUAUUCAGCACCAUAAGAACAGCACAGGAAAGACCUGCCCCCAUGAUUCAAUUACCUUCCACAACACAUGGGAAUUGUGAGAGGUACAAUUCAAGAUGAGAUUUGGGUGGGGGCAAUGUCAAACCAUAUCAUUCCAUUCCUGACCCUUCUCAAAUCUCAUGUCCUCACAUUUCAGAACUGAUCAUGCCCUCCCAACAGUUCCCCAAAGUCUCAACUCAUUUCAGCAUUAACUCAGAAGUCCACAGUCCAAAGUCUCAUCUGAGACAAGGCAAGUCCCUUUUGUCUAUGAGCCUGUAAAAUCAAAAGCAAGUUAGCUACUUCUUAGAUACAAUGGGAGUAGAGGCAUUGAGUAAAUACAACCAUUCCAAAUGGGAGACACUGGCCAAAACAAAGGGGUUAUGGGCCCCAUGCAAGUCCAAAAUCCAGCAGGGCAGUCAAAUCUUAAAGCUCCAAAAUGAUCUCCUUUGACUCCAUGUCUCACAUCCAGGUCAUGCUGAUGCAAGUGGUGGGUUCCCACGGCCUUGAGCAGCUCCAUUCCUGUGGCUUUGCAGGUACAGCCUCCUUCCAGGCUGAUUUCAUGGGUUGGCAUUGAGUCUCUGUGGCUUUUCCAGGUGCACGGUGCAAGCUGUUGGUGGAUCUACCAUUCUAGGGUCUGGAAGAUGGUGGCCUUCUUCUCGCAGCUCCACUAGGCAGUGCCCAAGUAGGAGCUCUGUUUGGGGGUUCCGACCCCACAUUUACCUUGUGCACUGCCCUAGCAGAGGUUCUCCAUGAAAGUGCCACCCCUGCAGCAAACUUCUGCCUGAACAUCCAGGCACUUCCAUACAACCUCCGAAAUUUAGGUGGAGGGUCCCAAAGCCCAAUUCUUGACUUCUGUGCACUGGCAGGCUCAACAUCAUGUAUAAGCUGCCAAGUCUUGAGGCUUGCACCCUCUGAAGCUGCAGCUUGAGCUCUACAUUGGCCCCUGUCAGCCACGGCUGGAGCAGCUGGGACAUAGGGCACCAAGUCCCUAUGCUGCACACAGCAUGGGGACCCUGGGGCCGGAAACAAAACCACCUUUUCCUCCUAGGCCUCUGGGACUGUGAUGGGAAGAGCUGCCAUGACAGCCUCUGAUACUCCCUGGAGAUAUUUUCCCCAUUGUCUUGGAGAUUAACAUUCGGCUCCGUGUCACUUAUGCAAAUUUCUGCAUCCAGCUUGGAUUUCUUCUCAGAAAAUGAGAUUUUCUUUUCUAUCAAUUGUCAGGCUGCAAAUUUUCCAAACUUUUAUGCUCUGUUUCCCUUUUAAAACUGAAUGACUUUAACAGCACCCAAGUCACAUCUUGAAUGCUUUGCUGCUUAGAAAUUUCUUCCAUCAAAUACCCUACAUCAUCUCUCUCAAGUUCAAAUUCCACAAAUCUCUAGGGCAGGGGCAAAAUGUCACUGGUCUCUUUGAUAAAAAAUAGCAAGAGUUACCUUUACUCCAGUACCCAACAAGUUUCUCAUCUCCAUCUGAAAUCACCUCAGCCUGAAUUUCAUUGUCCAUAUUACUAUCAGCAUUUUGUUCAAAGCCAUUUAACAUGUCUCUAGGAAGUUCCAAAGUUUUCCUUAUUUUCCUGGAUUCUUCUGAGCCCUCCAAACUGUUCCAACCUCUGCCUGUUACCCACUUCCAAAUUUGCUUCUACAUUUUCGGGUAUCUUUUCAGCAGGGCCCCACUCUACUGAUACCAAUUUACUGUAUUAGUCCGUAUUCAUGCUGCUGAUGAAGACAUACCCAAGACUGGGCAAUUUACAAAAAAAAGAGAUUUAUUGGAUUUACAGUUCCUCAUGGGUGGGGAGGCCUCACAAUCAUGGUGGAAGGCAAGGAGGAGUAAAUCAUGUCUUACGUGGAUGGCAGUAGACAAAAAGAGAGAGCUUUUGCAUGGAAACUCCCAUAUUUAAAAUCAUCAGCUUGCAUGAGACUUAUUCAGCACCAUGAGAACAGCAUAGGAAAGACCCGCCCCCAUGAUUCAAUUACCUCCCACCAGGUUCCUCCUAUUACAAGUGGGAAUUGUGGGAGUUACAAUUCAAGAUGAGAUUUGGGUGGGGACAAAGCCAAACGAAGGGAGCAGUGUUCAUUUUUUACAAGGAAAAACGGAUCCUUUCUGGUGGACCCAGAAGGUUUAAGAGAAUCCAGGUAUUCAAGAUUUUAUUGUAUUUAUUUAUUUUUCUUGAGACAGAAUCUCUCUCUGUCACCCAGGCUAAAGUGCGGUGUUGAAAUUAUAGUUCACUGCAACCUUCACCUCCUGAGCUCAAAUGAUUCUUACUCUGUCUUUUGAGUAGUUAGGACUACAGGUGUGCACCAUGUUGACCCUGCUAUUUCUCUCUCUCUCUCUCUUCUUUUUUUUUUGUAGAGACAAGGUCUCCCUAUGUUGCUCAGGGUGGUCUGGAACUCCUGGCCUCAAGUAAUCAUCCCACAUUGGCCUCCUGAAGUGCUAGGAUUACAGUGCCUUUAAUUAUGUGACUGGACCUGCAGAAUUCCUGGUCUUUUCUACAGUCCAUCCUUCCUACACCUGCCCAGCAGAAUUAUACUCCUCUCGCAUGGCUGCCCUCAGGACCUCCUGUCUGGUUCCCCAGGGAGAAUCUGUGUUCAGAUGUGGGCUUUCUCCCUCUCACACUUUGGGCGCUGAGUUUUUCAACUGUCUCACAUCACAGAAUUUGCAGCAGGAAGCUGCUUCUUUCAAAAGGCCAGGCGACAUGGCUC